rnacentral:rRNA from 1 species
AAGCUUAAAAUUAAAGAGCUUUUAAAACUAAAUAAGCUUAUGUUAUAAAUUUGUAAGUUAAGAUUAGUAGCAUUAGAGUAGUUAAACACUUUGUGAGGAGUGAGUUGUAAGCCUUAAAAAUGUUGUGCCAGCGUUAGCGGUUAUACAGCUAGGGGGUUUUGUAGAGUCGGUUGUUCAAUUUAAUUUUAGUUUUAGGGGUGAAAUCUGUAAAAUUAUAUUUAAGUUGAUAUUAAAGAUAAGUUAAACAGGAUUAGAUACCCUGGUAAUUAUCAAAGGUAUCGUAGGGGGUUAAAUUUAGUAAUUAUGGCGGUCAGAGAUAAACAGGGGGGCCUGGAUUAGAAAAUAAACUUAGUAAAUAAAUUUGAUUUACUUCUUGUGUGAUCGCACAAAGCUAAAAAGUUUUGGGGUAGAUAUAUAUAAGGGAUGGAGUUUUUUCUCUGGGUUUUUAUUUGAGAGUUAGAUUAUAAUUAAACAAUAAACUUGUUAGUAAUGUAGACUUUAUGAAUUUAUUUCUUUGAAGUACAUAUCGCCCGUCAGCACCUUUUAGGUGUAAGUCGUAACAUAGUGGGCUUAUUGGAAGAUGAGCCUUA